rnacentral:rRNA from 1 species
UACAGAGGUCUCAAGCGUUGUUCGGAUUCAUUGGGCGUAAAGGGUGCGUAGGCGGCGUGGUAAGUCGGAUGUGAAAUCUCGGAGCUUAACUCCGAAACUGCAUUCGAUACUGCCGUGCUUGAGGACUGGAGAGGAGACUGGAAUUUACGGUGUAGCGGUGAAAUGCGUAGAUAUCGUAAGGAAGACCAGUGGCGAAGGCGGGUCUCUGGACAGUUCCUGACGCUGAGGCACGAAGGUCCAGGGGAGCAAACGGG